ACUACGGGAGGCUGCAGUGGGGGAUAUUGCACAAUGGGGGAAACCCUGAUGCAGCGACGCCGCGUGUAGGAAGACGGUCCUCUGGAUUGUAAACUACUGUCCCCAGGGACGAAGAUGACGGUACCUGGGGAGGAAGCUCCGGCUAACUACGUGCCAGCAGCCGCGGUAAUACGUAGGGAGCGAGCGUUGUCCGGAAUUACUGGGUGUAAAGGGAGCGUAGGCGGGGAUGCAAGUUGGGUGUUAAAUCUACCGGCUCAACUGGUAGUCGCACUCAAAACUGCAGCUCUUGAGUGAAGUAGAGGCAGGCGGAAUUCCUAGUGUAGCGGUGAAAUGCGUAGAUAUUAGGAGGAACACCAGUGGCGAAGGCGGCCUGCUGGGCUUUUACUGACGCUGAGGCUCGAAAGUGUGGGGAGCAAACAGGAUUAGAUACCCGAGUAGUC
rnacentral:rRNA from 1 species